GACGAACGCUGGCGGCGUGCUUAACACAUGCAAGUCGAACGGAAAGGCCCUGAUCUUGCGGCGUGCUCGAGUGGCGCACAGGUGAGUAUAACGUGUGUAAACUGUCCUUCACUUUGGGGGAAAUUCAGGAAAAACGGGCUCUUAUACCAUAGGCGAUCCUGCUGCACGUUCUCGGCUGGUAAGAUUCUGCGGUUGGGGAUGGACUCGCGGCUUCUCAGCUUGUUGGUGGGGUAGUGGCUCACCAAGGCUCUGACGGGUAGCCGGCCUGAGAGGGUGACCGGCCACAUUGGGACUGAGAUACGGCCCAGACUCCUACGGGAGGCAGCAGUGGGGAAUAUUGCACAAUGGGCGGAAGCCUGAUGCAGCAACGCCGCGUGCGGGAUGACGGCCUUCGGGUUGUAAACCGCUUUCGCCAGGGACGAAGCGAGAGUGACGGUAAUUGGUAAAGAAGCACCGGCUAACUACGUG
rnacentral:rRNA from 1 species